UACGAAGGUCCCAAGCGUUAUCCGGAUUUAUUGGGUUUAAAGGGUGCGUAGGCGGGCUAUUAAGUCAGUGGUGAAAGCCCCAAGCUUAACUUGGGAACUGCCAUUGAUACUGAUGGUCUUGAGUACAUUUGAGGUGGGCGGAAUGUGUCAUGUAGCGGUGAAAUGCUUAGAUAUGACACAGAACACCGAUUGCGAAGGCAGCUCACUGGGCUGUAACUGACGCUGAGGCACGAAAGUGUGGGGAUCAAACAGG
rnacentral:rRNA from 1 species